CCCUUAGAUGUCCUGGGCUGCACGCGCGCUACCCUGAUGUGUCCAGUAAGCACCUAACCUCUUCCGAAAGGAACGGGUAACCUUUGCAAAGCACAUCGUGAUGGGGAUAGAUUAUUGCAAUUAUUAGUCUUGAACGAGGAAUUCCUAGUAAGCACAAGUCAUCAGCUUGUGUUGAUUACGUCCCUGCCCUUUGUACACACCGCCCGUCGCUCCUACCGAUUGAAUGUUCCGGUGAGCUCUUCGGACUGCGCGGUCUGCAGUUUCUGCGUUCCGUGCGGAAAGUUGCGCAAACCUUAACAUUUAGAGGAAGGAGAAGUCGUAACA
rnacentral:rRNA from 1 species